rnacentral:rRNA from 1 species
UACGAAGGGGGCUAGCGUUGUUCGGAAUCACUGGGCGUAAAGCGCACGUAGGCGGAUGUGCCAGUCAGGGGUGAAAUCCCGGAGCUCAACUCCGGAACUGCCUCUGAUACAGCACGUCUUGAGUUCGAGAGAGGUGGGUGGAAUUCCUAGUGUAGAGGUGAAAUUCGUAGAUAUUAGGAAGAACACCGGUGGCGAAGGCGGCCCACUGGCUCGAUACUGACGCUGAGGUGCGAAAAGCGUGGGGAGCAAACAGGG